AUACGGAGGGUGCAAGCGUUACUCGGAAUCACUGGGCGUAAAGCGCGCGCAGGCGGUCUUUUAAGUUGGAUGUGAAAGCCUACGGCUCAACCGUAGAACUGCAUCCAAAACUAUUAGACUAGAGUGUGGGAGAGGAAGAUGGAAUUAGUUGUGUAGGGGUAAAAUCCGUAGAGAUAACUAGGAAUACCAAAAGCGAAGGCAAUCUUCUGGAACACUCCUGACGCUGAGGCGCGAAAGCGUGGGGAGCAAACAGGAUUAGAAACCCUUGUAGUCC
rnacentral:rRNA from 1 species